AGUCAACAUGCCCAGGGGACGUGGAUAACCUCGGGAAACUGAGGAUAAACCGCGAUAAGUCACUGCUUCUGGAAUGGGCAAUGACUUAAAUCUAUAUGGCCCCUGGAUUGGACUGCGGCCGAUCAGGCUGUUGGUGAGGUAAUGGCCCACCAAACCUGUAACCGGUACGGGCUCUGAGAGUAGGAGCCCGGAGAUGGGCACUGAGACAAGGGCCCAGGCCCUAUGGGGCGCAGCAGGCGCGAAACCUCUGCAAUAGGCGAAAGCCUGACAGGGUUACUCUGAGUGAUUUCCGUUAAGGAGAUCUUUUGGCACCUCUAAAAAUGGUGCAGAAUAAGGGGUGGGCAAGUCUGGUGUCAGCCGCCGCGGUAAUACCAGCACCCCGAGUGGUCGGGACGUUUAUUGGGCCUAAAGCAUCCGUAGCCGGUUCUGCAAGUCUUCCGUUAAAUCCACCUGCUUAACAGAUGGGCUGCGGAAGAUACUAUAGAGCUAGGAGGCGGGAGAGGCAAGCGGUACUCGAUGGGUAGGGGUAAAAUCCGUUGAUCCAUUGAAGACCACCAGUGGCGAAGGCGGCUUGCCAGAACGCGCUCGACGGUGAGGGAUGAAAGCUGGGGGAGCAAACCGGAUUAGAUACCCGGGUAGUCCCAGCUGUAAACGAUGCAGACUCGGUGAUGAAUUGGCUUUAUGCCAAUUCAGUGC
rnacentral:rRNA from 1 species